rnacentral:rRNA from 1 species
UACGGGGGGGGGUAAGCGUUGUUCGGAAUUACUGGGCGUAAAGGGCUCGUAGGCGGCCAACUAAGUCAUACGUGAAAUCCCUCAGCUUAACUGGGGAACUGCGUGUGAUACUGGAUGGCUUGGAUUUGGGAGAGGGAUGCGGAAUUCCAGGUGUAGCGGUGAAAUGCGUAGAUAUCUGGAGGAACACCGGUGGCGAAGGCGGCAUCCUGGACCGAUAUUGACGCUGAGGAGCGAAAGCUAGGGGAGCAAACGGG